rnacentral:lncRNA from 1 species
AAACACCAUCCAACUCGAUCAUUCAAGUUUAUCUUGUAAUUCAUCAGCCAAAUCGUCCACUUCAAAUUCAUCACCGAUGUCAUUCUCUUGAAUUUCAUCAUCUAGGUCAUCCUCUUGAAAUUCAUCAUCUAUAUCAUCCUCCUCAAAUUCAUCAUCUAUAUCAUCCUCCUGAAAUUCAUCACUUAAGUUGUCCUCAAGAAAUUCGUCCUCAAGAAAUUCAUCAUCUACGUCUUCCUCCUCAUCUAUGUCAUCCUGUACAGCAUCUUCAUUGAUAACUUGCUGCAUAAGAACAAAAUACAUCAACCAUAGAAAACUUGUUUUACUAUUUUCCCUUCCUUAUUCUAUCAUUACAAGCUCAUUUUUAAGUUUCUGCAACUUAUGCCAUGUUAUGCAACAGAGAAAGAAACACAAAAUGCAGAAAAAUAAAUCACAAGUUUGCACAAACACCACAAAUUGCAUAAACAAAAUUUAUGCAUAAAAUUCUGCAACACAAUCAAAAUCCGACUUUGGACAUGCAUUUUAAACAAUUCAGCCAAACAACAUAAUCAUAAGUUCGCACAGCUCUAAUUUAGACCCAACAUACGCAAGUUAACAAUUUCAGACACUUGCCUACAUUCCAAGUGAUGUCAUUACUAACAACUUUUUGCAUAUAUUAACAAGGAAAAUAUAAC